rnacentral:misc_RNA from 2 species
AACGCACAUUGCGCCCGUUAGUAUUCUGACGGGCAUGCCUGUUCGAGCGUCAUUUCAACCCUCAAGCACCGCUUGGCGUUGGCGGGCUACAGCGCUUUUAGUGCCGUAGCCGCCCAAAUACAUUGGCGGUCCCGCCGUGGCUCCCCUUGCGUAGUAACUCACCUCGCACCGGGUCCAGGCGGCGGCCUGCCGUAAAACUCUUAUUUUUAAAAGGUUGACCUCGGAUCAGGUAGGAAUACCCGCUGAACUUAA